rnacentral:rRNA from 1 species
UAGCCGUAAACGAUACUCGCUAGGUGUCGGCCACGGUGCGACCGUUGUCGGUGCCGUAGGGAAGCCGUGAAGCGAGCCACCCGGGAAGUACGGCCGCAAGGCUGAAACUUAAAGGAAUUGGCGGGGGAGGCACAACAACGGGUGGAGCUUGCGGUUUAAUUGGAUUCUAACGCCGGAAAUCUUACCGGGACCGGACAGCAACAUGAAGGCCAAGCUGAAGACUUUGCCGGAUUAGCUGAGAGGUGGUGCAUGGCGUAGUCGUGU